rnacentral:rRNA from 1 species
GUCCACGCCCUAAACGAUGUCAACUGGUUGUUGGACGGCUUGCUGUUCAGUAACGAAGCUAACGCGUGAAGUUGACCGCCUGGGGAGUACGGCCGCAAGGUUGAAACUCAAAGGAAUUUACGGGACCCGGCACAAGCGGUGGAUGAUGUGGUUUAAUUCGAUGCAACGCGAAAAACCUUAACCUACCCUUGACAUGUCAGGAAUCCCGUAGAGAUAUGGGAGUGCUCGAAAGAGAAUCUGAACACAGGUGCUGCAUGGCCGUCGU